ensembl:lncRNA
CAGAGAACAGAGCAGAAAGGUCCGACAGUCUUUAAACGCGUCUUCAUGUUUCUGUGAAGCAGCGCGGCUUCAGCCUGCUAACAGGCAGCUAACAGGCAGCUAACAGGCUGCUAACAGACAGCUAACAGGCAGCUAACAGGCAGCUAACAGGCAGCUAACAGGCUGCUAACAGGCAGCUAACAGGCUGCUAACAGGCUGCUAACAGGCAGCUAACAGACAGCUGAGCUAAACUAACGAUGCCACGUUCAAACUCGCCGCAGCGUAAAAUAGUCGUCGCGGUCCGUAGUCGGUGCACAAGAAGCACCGCUGCACCGAUACGAGCGUCCUGGGUUCGUGGAUGACGUCAUCAUGACGCGUUAAUAUCCGCGUACUUUGUCUGUCUGUUGUCUGUCAGCUGCGGGCGAAUUUAGGGGGAAAAAGUAUCGUGACUUCUUCAACCACCAACAUGUUCGUCUCGUCAAGUCUCGAGGAGUUCGUCAGUUUUAGAAGAAUACAUUAUUCCUCCGUUCAUAAGGAACUGUGAAUAUGGAUCUUUCUUCUGCACUUCUACAAGCAUCCUCUAGAUUAGAAAAAAGGAUACAAUUAUUCAUACAUCUAAUUUUCAAAUACACUUGUUCAGUUUAUUGGAUUAGCUAAAAUGUGUGCUGUACAAAUUUCAACCUUGAUGAUAAUCCUAACCCGCAUAAUCUUUAAGUAUGUAAAGUCUAAACAUUACAAUAACAAACAACAUUGUCACGCUGUGGUUUUGUUUCCUGUCUUAUUGUGUAGUUUUCUGCUUCUUGUCUCCCUGGGUAACUUCACUUCACCUGCCUUGUCCUGUCGUUCCUUGUGAUCGUCUGUUUCCACCUGUGUCCAAUCACCUGCACCCAGGGCUGUAGUGGAG